ACCUACACCACAGCUCUCGGCAACGCCAGAUCCUUAACCCACUGACCAAGGCCAGGGAUUGAACCCGCAACCUCUUGGUUCCUAGUCGGAUUCGUUAACCACUGCACCAGGAUGGGAACUCCGCUUGCUAGUCAGGUUUGUUGCUGCUGAGCCACAAUGGAAACUCCCACGUACUGACUUUAUAUUUGUAACCAGGGAUUGUAUUUUUGUUUUCUCUUUUGUUUUUUUUAAAAAAGUGGAAAUUAACUGCCUGUCCCCCCACCCGCCACCCACAAAAAGCUUAAGGUAAGGUAGCAGUGAGAAUGAGUAGGAGGUGGUUUAAAAAGUAGAUCCAAGUUUCUCCUGUGAUAUGGCAGGUUAAGGAUUCAGCAUUGUCACUACAGUGGUCUGGGUUGCUGCUGAGGUAUGGGUUCGAUCCCUGGCCUGGGAACGUCUAUGUGCUGUGGGUGCAGCCAGUUUAAAAAAAAGUAGAAUUGAUGGGACUUAGAGACUAUCUUGAGAAAAGUCAAAGCCCCUGGAAUGACUUUCAGUUUUUCUGGCUUACUGUACACUACGAGAGGCACCUUAAAGAGGGAGGACAGGGAGUUCCCCUUGUGGCGCACCAGAAAGGAAUCUGACUAGGAACCAUGAGGUUUCGGGUUCGAUCCUUGGCCUUGCUCAGUGGGUUAAGGAUCUGGUGUUGUCUCGAGCUGUGAUGUAGGUCGCAGAUGCAGCUUGGAUCUGGAGUUGCUAUGGCUCUGGUGUAGGCUGGCAGCUGUAGCUCCGAUUAUGCCUCCUAGCCUGGGAACAUCCAUAUGCUGCGAGUGUGACCUUAAAACGCAAAAAUAAAUAAAUAAAUAAAGAGGAAGGACAGGUUUGGAUCAUAUGGAGAAAAAUAUAAAAUAUGCUUUAUUUAGGGAUUCUUAAUAAUCCCGGGAAUAUAGCAGUGAACAAGACAAAGUCCUUCCUGGAGUUCCCAUCAUGGCGUAGUGGAAAUGAGUCUGACUAGGAACCAUGAGGUUGCAGGUUCGAUCCCUGGCCUUGCUCAGUGGGUCAAGGAUCCCGUCUUGCCGUGAGCUGUGGUGUAGGUCGCACAUGCAGCUCGGAUCUGGUGUUGCUGUGGCUGUGGUGUAGGCCAGAGGCUACAGCUCCAAUUAGACCCCUAGCCUGGGAACCUUCAUAUGCUGUGGGUGUGGCCCUAAACAGACGGAAGACCAAAAAACAAAAACAAAUCAAAAACAAAAAACGAAGUCCUUCCUUUAUGGAGGAGGAAAUACGACAGUAAAAUGAAUUGAGAAGUAACUAUAUGGUUAUAUUAGGUGAAGACAAAGGCUAUAGAGGAAAAAAAAUACUGGCUCAGGGAGAUAUAAGUUAGACAAGAAAUUACUGUCUUAUUUUGGAUAGUCAAAGAGGCCUCACUGAUAACGGUGAUUUAACUUUCUUAUCGUGAAAUAAAAUGUAUACUAAUAAGUAUAUAAAAUAUAAACAUCCCUUGUACUGACUUCAUAUAAAGUGAACAGCUUUGUAACCAUCUCUUUAAUAAAGAUGUUGGAGGAGUUCCCAACAAAGAACCUUGGGGACACAGGUUCAAUCCCUGGCCUCACUCAGCUGGGUUAAGGAUCUGGCGUUGCCGUGAGCUGUGAUGUAGGUCUCAGAUGCGGCUCUGAUCUGGUGUUGCUGUGGCUCUGGUGUAGGCCGGUGACUACAGCUCCAGUUAGGCCCCUAGCCUGGGAACCUCCAAAUUCCUCGGGUACAGCCCUAGAAAAGACAAAAAAAAGAAGACAUUUAUGCUGCACAGCAAAAUUAGCACAACAUUGUGAAUCAACUAUACUUUAAUAAAAGUACAUUUAAAAUGAGAAAAGAUUUGGGGGAAAAAAGAUUUCAAGUAGAUACUACAGUUAAAAAACUUAAUCUUUUGGAGUUCCCUUGUGGUGCAGGGGGUUAAGGAUCUGACGUUACUGCAGUGGCUCGAGUUACUGCUAUGGUGAAGGUUUGCUCCCUGGCCCCAGAACUUUCCCAUAGGCCACAGGCGUGGCUGAAAACGUUUAAUCUUCAAAAAUAUAAUUUUGGAGUUGCCUUUUACUCUCAGAUAUUGAUAAGUAGAAACUCUACAUAAAAGUUUCCUAUUGGUACCAUAACCAGUUACCGUAAACUUAGUGGUUUAAAACAUUAUUUUCUCGCAGUUUUGGAAGUCAGAAGUUGUAAUAGCAAGGUGUUGGCAGGUUGUCUUCCCCCUUCUGUGAGCUGCCUGCAUUCCUUGGCUCCUGGCCCCCUCCUCCAUUUCAGAGCCAGUGGCAUCGCGUCUUCAAAACGCUCUCCCUUUCUGGCCUCUCCUGAUAUUCCUGCCUCCCCUUAUGAGGACCUUGGUGGUUUCUCUAGCUCACUUGGAUAAUCCAGGAUAAUCUUCCCAUUUCAGUAUUCUUCAUGUACUCCCGUCUACACCGUCCCUUUUACUAUGUAACAUGACACACUCCUGGGUUCCAGGGACUGGAAUGUCAGCAUUCUUGGGGGGGGCCAUUGUCCUAUGUACUGUAGACUCUAAAUUCGAGAAUAAGAAUUUCACUAACCCUGUUUCUUAGGGUCUGAUGAAUGAAGAUUUACAAGUACAGAUAAAAGAGGGCCCUUACCUGAGUUCCCGUCGUGGCUCAGUGGUUAACAAACCUGACUGGUAUCCAUGAGGAUGUGGGUUCGAUCCCUGGCCUUGCUCAGUAGGUUAAGGAUCCGCCAUUGCCAUGAGCUAUGGUAUAGGUCACAAACGUGGCUUGGAUCCCAAGUUGCUGUGGCUGUGGUGUAGGCCAGCAGCUACCGCUCCGAUGCAACUCCUAGCCUGGGAACCUCAAUAUGCUGUGGAUGUGGCCCUAAACAGACAAAAGCCAAAAGCCAAAAAAAAAAAAAAAAAA
ensembl:lncRNA